GGGUAAGUGGUACAAAGGUAGCACAUUUGACUGUGAAUCAAAAGACACGAGUUCGAUUCUCGUCUUACCCA